rnacentral:rRNA from 1 species
AACGAACGCUGGCGGCGUGCCUAAUACAUGCAAGUCGAGCGAAUCGAUGGGAGCUUGCUCCCUGAGAUUAGCGGCGGACGGGUGAGUAACACGUGGGUAACCUGCCUGUAAGACUGGGAUAACUUCGGGAAACCGGAGCUAAUACCGGAUACUUUCUUUUCUCGCAUGAGGGAAGAUGGAAAGAUGGUUCUGCUAUCACUUGCAGAUGGACCCGCGGCGCAUUAGCUAGUUGGUGAGGUAACGGCUCACCAAGGCAACGAUGCGUAGCCGACCUGAGAGGGUGAUCGGCCACACUGGGACUGAGACACGGCCCAGACUCCUACGGGAGGCAGCAGUAGGGAAUCUUCCGCAAUGGACGAAAGUCUGACGGAGCAACGCCGCGUGAGCGAAGAAGGCCUUCGGGUCGUAAAGCUCUGUUGUUAGGGAAGAACAAGUACGAGAGUAACUGCUCGUACCUUGACGGUACCUAACCAGAAAGCCACGGCUAACUACGUGCCAGCAGCCGCAGUAAAAC